GGGGGCGUAAAGGUUUCGACGGGGGCUGGGAAGUUCAGUCGGCGAGCCGGGGCGCACUGCCCGAAAACGGUGCAAUUAUAAAUUUAAACGCGAAUAACGAUUCCGUUCUGAUGGCCGCUUAAGGCCGUCCGUCUGCCCGGAUGAUACCAUGGCUCCGGUGUCAGGCGUCAUGACAUGGUGAACGCCCGCUGCCCAUGUGCAUAAGCGGCGGGGGUAUGAUGCACUACCAAUUUGUAAAGCCUGUUUGCCGGCGGUGCAAUGCGGGAAUGUAAAAGACAAACUAUGCUCGUAGAUGACCGGAUGGAUCGGUUUUCGGACAGGAGUUCAAUUCUCCUCGCCUCCACCA
rnacentral:tmRNA from 1 species